GCCAGGCGUGGUGGUGUACACCUGUAGUCCCAGCUACUCAGGAGGCUGAGACAGGAAGAUUGCUUGAGCCCAGGAGGUCAAGGCUGCAGUGAGCCAUGAUCACACUACUGCACUCCUGCCUGGGCAACAGAGUGAGACCCUGUCUCAA
rnacentral:SRP_RNA from 1 species